UCGUGUGCGUGGCUGGGUCAAUAGCGAUCAAGACGGACGGAAAAAUUGACGGAAGUGUUAAAAAUGGGAACAGGGUGAACUUUGGGUGCUAUUAAAGUGAACCGGUAUCUUUCGGUGCUAUAAAACCAAAAACGUGAACUUUCGAUGCCAUAUAACCAAUUUUGCCCGCACUAUAUCAUAUCUCUCGGUAGCGCCUACCCCCAUCGAUCCCAUCUGAAAUAGCCAGUCGAUUAUACGAGCGGAACGUAGAUGGGAACGACGAGAGCGUAAACCAGGCAGAUGCAUUCGCCGGCUGGCCAUCAACGUUAAUCCGAUCAAACCCAGAAUACUGACAACUUCGUUCCACGCGAGGAGAUGGACAUCGCCCUUCAAUCUUUCUGCUUCAAAAUUAGCGCUGCUGCAGGAGCAAGCAGAUCCUCAAUAAGGAGAGAGAACAAUUAUGAAGAGAAAGCACAUCAGGAGAGGCGAUUAUAUAACUGCUUGCACUGUUUGAUUUUAUUUUCUGUCGUUACUAAUUCAUAAUACGGAUUGCUUGGUUCAAGUGGCCGCACGGUAUAUUUGCGUACACAAAUUCGACCGAUGACAUGAUCUUGCUUCUUGCAGCCAAAAUAACAGUGAUGCAAAUAGAAAAGCUGCUCUUUGAACAUCAUGUGCCGGUAAUUACAAAUAUAUCAUUAUUUUUCGUACGUAUAUAUUAAAUAGAUCUGCAGCGGUAACCAAUCAGCAAGACAAUGGCAUCUGCAUCAGAUUCAACUGAAAGCUAAUUACUUUGGUACUUACAAAUUACUUUCCAGUAAACAAUGGUACAUGCAAAUGUUUAUCUUUGAGUUACAUAUUAUCGUUUUUAGCCAAGCUAAUUACUUUGCUAUGUUUCUUAGAGCAAAAGUUUGAUGACUAUAAUUGUUAUAGCUAUCUUUGUCAUGCAUAUCAUGCAGAUUCAUUUAAGGUUAGUUCUUUUUUUUCCACACUUUUUAUGAUGUACUGCUCCUUUUGUAUCAUUCCAAAAAGAUUGGCUAUGCUUCAACCAUUUUGCUUGGUUAUUUCAUUACUAAUUUUAUUUGUCAGGCAAGAUGCAAUUUAAUCCUAGGACCGACAUAUAUAUAUAUAUAUAUAUGGUUCACGUUCAAUUUUCAAGAUAUUAUUAAAUUAACUAAUCUAUGUCAAGGGGCAAUUUUUAACUAUGAGGAUCUUAUAUUCAUCGUGUCAUCCACAGGUAAUUACGAUUUUACUUUUCAUCAAUCUCUGCCCGCAGCAGGAGCUGCUCCAUUACUCAUAGACAAAGCCAACAACUUACUCUUCACAACGCUGGAGUAUGGCAUGAUGGAGGCCACAUCGACCUCCUUUGUCUUGCACAUGACGAUCAGCAGCGUGCCGGUGUGUGCAUAUACUGCUCAACUGACGACGUCAAUUGGAUACACGCAACCUCAGACUCUAUAGGUUCAGACUAUUUUCUCCAUCCAGAUUUUGAGAUCAGAUAAGGAACAAGAAAUUCUACUGGCUGAGAAAGGGAUAGAUGAACACUUGAUAAAGGCAGAUCACACAAUUUCGAUGGCUAUGCAUCGAGUUGUGCUGUUAUGCAUGGAUAUUGGCCUAGGAGGCAUCAGGAGUUGUCAUUUCAACGAUCCAUUUAUGCACUGACCUUCUUUAGUAGCUAGAAACAUAAACAUAAGGCGAAGCAGUAGCCACCAGCCUGAUAUUGCCUCACCCAUAGUCUCCUUGAUAGUACGAAUGCGAAUUGGAGAAACGUUGAGCUACUUGAAUCCCCCUUCCAGAUUUUCUUGGUCAGUAUGGAUUGCCCCAUCUAUUGUCCAGACUUCAGAGUGGUUAUGUGCAUGAAAAUUUUGUAUUAAUCCUUACCACUUACCUACGUGGUUAAAUUAAGGUUUGGUUGAUAUGAUACAAGAAUGUAAGGCGUGCUUUCAGAACAUGCUAAAUAUUUGGAAGGAGAAUUUUCUUAUGAUAUUUUAUUUUUCAUAAUUAUAUGGUUCUCAUCAAAUGGUUCCAAAGAUGCUGACUGGCGUCGUUCUCUUUUUUACCAAACGGAGUAAUGGAUUGUUUCAUGGAAGCUAGUCCAACAAUCGAGCAUUCCAACAUUUUUACACUUGAGCUGAAGAAUUGAUUAAUCAUGCAGCUAUAGGUGUAUAUACAACUCACAUGCACAGCUUCAAUAAAUGCAGAGAACCAGACUGCGUUUUCACAAAAGAUAUGUGACAAGCAUAUGGUAUCCUGCAUUUGUGCUGCCUUUGUUGCUUCAGAAAGGAUGAGAUGAGCAUUAAUCAAUUCUUCAGAAAUGCAGUAGGCUACUACUGAUAGAGUCAAAACUGAGGAGUGAUGAAGUAGGCUAAUUGACUUUGUUGCUUCAGAAAGGAUGAGAUGAGAUGAGCUACUACUGAGAAAGUCAAAACUGAGGAGUGAUGACAAGCUCAAGUUCUACAAGCUGAGUGAUGAAGUGUUGUUAGGACCACAGUCCAGUCUGGUUGCAAUGCUAGGCAUUGGAGAUAUUUGGAGCUCUUGUGUUACAAUCAGAGAGUAUACAUGGUGCUGUCCAGCAACCAGCAUAUGCAGUUUUGACUUUGUCAGUAAUAGCCUACACUGCUUCAGAGCUAAGUCCUUCUAUACUUGUAUUGGUGAUGAAUGGUGUUUGCCGAUUCCAAAUCCAUUAACUUCUCUUGAUAAAACAAUUCCGCUGGCAUUUUUUUUUGCUGCAGCUCAGCCAACUUAAUUCCAAAUCCGUAAAAUAAAAUAGGUAUGUACUCAUGUUUUUUUAUGUGAAGUGACAGUCUUCUUUUGUUGUUCUCCGACUAUAUAAACAACAUCACCAAAGCAGCCUGCAGGAUGAUCAUAUGUAUGUAAAGCUUACCUGCUAGAUAGAUUACUGCAUACGAUGGUUCCAAAGUUUCAGUUGAGCAAACAAAUCAGAAGAAAUUCUGAAGACAAACGCAGGCACAUAGCUAGCAAUGAUUUGGUCAUGGUUUACUUUGUCGUACUAAAUUACAAAUAAGAUAACUUUGAAAAGAAAGAAGAAAUUUGGAGGCAAUGACAUACACCUUGAGAAACAAAUUAAUCCUGAUGAGAUUAUACCGUCAGAAAUCAGAAGCCUCUUCCCGAUUAGCUACACACACACUAUAGACCACACCAUCCUUCUUAUGGAACAGUGGAAGCUGAAACUGGUGGCAAGGCAUGUCGCCACCUCUGAUAGAUAAAAUCAAAGCUUGGCCUCAUCUUCUACGAAUCGAUCAUCAUGGUUCUGGAGCAUAUCGAUCGGCAGGUGUAUCCUGCAGGGAUGGCGGCGGCGGCGGCUUUGACAGGACUCUGUGGAUUUUGUGGCUGUUCUAAGGUGGCCCCGUGUAGCAAGUGCAAAGCUGUGACUUGGUGGUGAGGUGGCGAUGUUAUGGCCCAUUUAGUAGAGCUCUAACUACUAAAUUUAACUUUAGGAGUUGAGUUUGGAGCAGAAUUGUGAAACAGUCUAAACAUUGCUUCACAUUUCUAGUUCAUUUUGUGAGAGUGCCGCAGUCAACUUCACUCCCAUUUUUUAUGGAGCUGAAACUAUUUGGUUGGGCUACAGCCCCAGGAGAGUUGGAGCUCGAGCUGGAGUUGCGUCAAACAGGCCCUUAGUCUUAUUUGUGAGUUGUGACCGGUGACAGCGGCAUUAGAGAAUUUUGUUUUUUUUUUGGUAAACUCAUGCCCCUUCUGACGCUCCUGUAUGUACCUCUUAGUUUUGGUUGGAUGGUAGGAUCACUGGAAUGGUAGCAAUAUGAUUAUCAAGAGACCUAAUGGAUACUUGCAUUAGUGGAGUUUUUCCAUGCAAAAUAUCAUUUGCUACUAUACAAAUAUCGAUUCAGGAAGCAAACAUGCAACAUUUGACGAUCUAAAAUCGCCCUUUUUUUUUCCAUAAAAAAGAUAGUGACUGAGUGAGCCUAGCUAAGUACAACAAGCUGAUGGAAGAGAAAUGAAGAGUUCCAGUGAC